UACAGGGGGUGCAAACGUUGCUCGGAAUUAUUGGGCGUAAAGCGCGCGUAGGCGGCCACUUAAGUCGGAUGUGAAAGCCCCUGGCUCAACUGGGGAAGUGCACCCGAAACUGAAUGGCUUGAAUGCAAAAGAGGGUCGCGGAAUUCCCGAGUGUAGAGGUGAAAUUCGUAGAUAUUCGGAAGAACACCAGUGGCGAAGGCGGCUCACUGGACGACUGUUGACGCUGAGGUGCGAAAGCGUGGGGAGCAAACAGG
rnacentral:rRNA from 1 species